rnacentral:lncRNA from 1 species
CUUUGUUCUGUGUUUGAACCCCCCUUUUUUUAAAUGGCUGGAUCCGCCCCUGCUCAUUGCUGUCUGGCAGUACUUUGGUCCCUCUGGAAUAUCCCUACUUACAAGUUUUUAUAUAAUUAACAGUUAAUUUGUCCAUUAUGAUUGACGAUUAAGCUCCUGUAAUGACAGCCAAAAAAGGAUAUUAUUUACAGUUUUAGGGGAAUAUAAGUAAGGGG